rnacentral:rRNA from 1 species
UACGUAGGGGGCAAGCGUUGUCCGGAAUUAUUGGGCGUAAAGCGCGUGUAGGCGGCCCGAUAAGUCCGCUGUGAAAGUCCAGGGCUCAACCCUGGAAUGCCGGUGGAUACUGUCGGGCUCGAGUCCGGAAGAGGCGAGUGGAAUUCCUGGUGUAGCGGUGAAAUGCGUAGAUAUCUGGAGGAACACCGGUGGCGAAGGCGGCAUCCUGGACCAAUAUUGACGCUGAGGAGCGAAAGCUAGGGGAGCAAACGGG